AGAAGGACCAUUAGGGUUUGGGUUUAGUGCAUUUUUAAUAGGAUGAUCUUCAACGGCUCUAAAAGGAAUUCUGGUGAUCCCAGGACUUAUUGAUGCAGAUUAUUGUGGGACUGUGAAAAUUAUGAUCCACGUUUUAAUCCCUCCUGUUUCUAUUCCUAAAGGUACCAGAUUAGCACAAUUAGUUCCAUUCAGGUCAUGUGUUCCGAACCCAGGUGAAGUACAACGUGGAGAUGGUGGAUUCGGCUCCACCAGGGAACUGCAAUGCUGGGUGUGCCUAAAGAAAUUAAGACUGACAAUGGCCCGGCUUAUGGUUCUACACGAUUUGCUCGGUUUUGUAACUUGUGGGGGAUUCACCAUGGUACGGGUAUCCCACAUCUUCCCACAGGACAGGCUAUUGUCGAACGAGCUAACCAAACCUUGAAGAGCAUGCUGCAAAAACAAAGGGGGGGAACUCAAGGCUUACUUCCAGAGGAGCGACUGGCCAAAGCCUUAUUUGUGCUAAAUUAUCUUAGAUUGACAGAUGACCACAAAGAUCCACCGAUGGUAGUGCACCAUGCUCUUUUACAGGCGGAAAAGACGCCACAGAAUACAGGAAUCAUGGUAAUGUAUAAGGACCCAGAGUCCGGACAAUGGCGCGGACCUGCAGAAGUAAAGCUUACUGGGAGGGGAUAUAUGUGUUUGCUUACAGAUUGAGGCAUUCGCUGGAUCCCAGCCAAGUGGGUCAAGCCAUGGCUUCGCACUGAUGCUGGAUCCGGAAUCGUUCCAACAGCAACUGGCACGAUACCGGCAGGUGCUGAAGCCGCUGAUCCGAC